GAUGAACGCUAGCGGCAGGCUUAAUACAUGCAAGUCGAGGGGCAGCAUGACUGUAGCAAUACAGUUGAUGGCGACCGGCAAACGGGUGCGGAACACGUACAGAACCUUCCUUCGAGCGGGGAAUAGCCCAGAGAAAUUUGGAUUAAUACCCCAUAGUAUAACGGAGAGGCAUCUCUUUGUUAUUAAAGAUUUAUCACUUGAAGAUGGCUGUGCGGCUGAUUAGGUAGUUGGCGGGGUAACGGCCCACCAAGCCUGCGAUCAGUAACUGGUGUGAGAGCACGACCAGUAACACGGGCACUGAGACACGGGCCCGACUCCUACGGGAGGCAGCAGUAAGGAAUAUUGGUCAAUGGACUAAAGUCUGAACCAGCCAUGCCGCGUGGAGGAUGAAGGUCCUCUGGAUUGUAAACUUCUUUUAUAUGGGACGAAAAAAGGCCUUUCCAGGUCGUCUGACGGUACCAUAUGAAUAAGCACCGGCUAACUCCGUGCCAGCAGCCGCCGUAAUAC
rnacentral:rRNA from 1 species